AGCUAACGUGCGGCCUUAACUGUUAAACAAACAAACAAAGCAACACACAGGUGUGAAAAUAAUUAGCCUACUUAUUAUUCAAAAUAACCCCAGAUUAAAACGAUUGACGAGUUAGAAGAUUUAGCUGUAUGUUCCCAGUAUCCGCCUGUUCCCAGCAGGAGGAAGAGCCACCAGGUGACAUGUUUUGCCAUCCACCUUGCUGAAUUGCCCAAACGUUUGCACCCAUGGGCUGAAUAACUGCUGAGGGCGGUUUUUAUUCAUGUCUGCGAGACCUUCAGGCUGUCAGAGGAGAAUGUAGAGGCUAAGGCUGAGCGGUGGAGCACUGUACCAGAGUCCUCUGCAUCUUGAUCCUCAAUGAGACCCUCAGGCACCCCCAUCUCCAUG